rnacentral:rRNA from 1 species
GACGAACGCUGGCGGCGUGCUUAACACAUGCAAGUCGAACGGGUCUGCCCUGUUUUUUGCGGGGUGGGUCAGUGGCGAACGGGUGAGUAACACGUGAGUAACCUGCCCCUCACUUCUGGAUAACCGCUUGAAAGGGUGGCUAAUACGGGGUGUUCUGGCUGUGCCGCAUGGUGUGGCUGGGAAAGAUUCACUUUUGUGGUGUUUUGGUGGGGGCUGGGCUCGCGGCCUAUCAGCUUGUUGGGGGGGCGAUGGCCUGCAACGGCGUUGACGGGUAGCCGGCCUUGGAGGGUGGGCGGUCACACUGGGACUGAGAUACGGCCCAGACUCCGGCGGGAGGCAGCAGGGGGGGGUAUGGCACGAGGGGCGGAAGGCUGAAGCAGCGACGUCGCGUGAGUGAUGGAGGCCUUCGGGUUGUGAACCUCUUUCGCCGGUGAAGAAGGGCCUGCUCUUUGGGGUGGGGUUGACGGUAGCCGGGUUAUGAAGCGCCGGCUAACUACGUG